UACAGAGGUCUCAAGCGUUGUUCGGAUUCAUUGGGCGUAAAGGGUGUGUAGGUGGCGCGCUAAGUCGGGUGUGAAAUUUCGGAGCUUAACUCCGAAACUGCAUUCGAUACUGGCGUGCUUGAGGACUGGAGAGGAGACUGGAAUUUACGGUGUAGCAGUGAAAUGCGUAGAUAUCGUAAGGGAAGACCAGUGGCGAAGGCGGGUCACUGGCCCGGUACUGACGCUGAGGCACGAAAGCGUGGGGGAGCAAACAGG
rnacentral:rRNA from 1 species